rnacentral:tRNA from 1 species
GAGAUAAUAGUAUAUUUUAGUAUAUUUUAUUUUCAAUAAAAUGGAAAAUUUAUCUUA